AUGCCCAACAUAGGUGGCUUAGUGACCAUUGAAAAAGUUUGGCAGCUGGAUGACAUGCAUGAUCUCAAGUUGACAUCACGGCUCAAAGAUGUAUGCCUCUCCUUCGCACUGUCCAAGCUUUUAAGGUGUCGGUUCACCAGGUACACAAAUGAUGAGAUUGGCUUCACCAAAGCUUCUAACUUUUUACGGCAUAUGUUACUCGGGGACAGUUAUGAUGACAGGCUACUUCGACUGGUUGAGCAUGAGCUUUCUUUUCUUCAUGAUAUUUAUUAUUCAUCUCUCACAAUCUCAUAUUCAAAGAUCUGGAUGCCCCUACUGAGCAUAUUAAUUUCACUCUCAGGCAUCGGUUACUGCUUAGUUUUAAGCAUUCUCAUAGUAUAUGUUCAAAUUGAUUAUCUGAAUGACACGUCAGAUGGACAAUUACCGCUGAUACGAUGCAACUAUCAGUGCCGUCGAUUCAUUAGUGAAGCGCAAGGCAAAAUACCAGCAGUACACCGUCAGUUUUUUGGAAGUGCAAUAUUUGACCUUGUACCGGUGGUUGUACUUAUUGCACUGGUUGUGCUUGCUGAGAUAAGAGAGGUUGCUUCUUACAUUUGCUCUAACUGGACAAAAGUGACCUUAAUCUGCCACUACAUAAACCAUGCUUCUUGGCAGAAAUCUCAUAUGAUGAAGAAAUGUAUUAGACGUGUGUUGCAAUGUAGAUGCAAGAUACUCAAGCAUUUUGAGGACAAAAUGAACCAAUGUUCAAUACUGGUGCUCCACCAAACGAAGACUCCAAUGAGACUUCUUCAUCUUCUUAAACCUGGUCAGAAGGUCAAGGUGCCAAGAGAGGUGAAGGCUGCUAUCAUGAAUGCACUGAGAAGCUAUGAGGGAAGCCGAGACAAUAACCGCAUUCCAUGUUUGAUCACGAGGCCACAAUUCAAGACCGGCGACAACCUCCUUUGGGUGGUUGAUGGCACAAAAGGUAUUGCCAAUACCAUUCUUGUGUGCCACAUCGCCACAAGCAUUCUUGAACUCGGGUCGGCUGGCUCAUGUCAACCUCUCACUGACCAUAAGACCGCUGCCAUUCACCUGUCCCGAUACUGCGCCUAG
rnacentral:rRNA from 1 species